CAGGGUGGACAAUGGUGGAGAACAGAACUUGAAACGUGGUUUGAGAAAAUAUUUCCUCAAACUCGAGCCGGAUCCAAACACAGCAAACAGAAAUCUCAAACUGUCUGGCAGUCACAGGAAGGUGAGAGCAGUGGAAGACAGGCAGCCAUAUCCUAAUCACCCGGAGAGAUACGACAGCUUUCAGCUGCUGCAUCGUUACAGUCUGACAGGCCGUUGUUACUGGGAAGUGAAGUGGGGAGGAUGGGUGGAAAUCGGUGUCACUCACAAAGAAGUCAGAAAGACGGGAAACAACACUGAGUCCCACCUUGGAAGGAAUUGUCACUCAUGGAGCCUGAAGUGUUCUAAUGGAGGUUACUCUGUCUGGCAUGACAAUAGAGAAACUACAAUCCCUCUCCCUCCUUCUUCUGAUACAGUCGCAGUGUAUGUGGACUGUCCUGCUGGCAUUCUGUCCUUCUACAGAGUCUCCUCUGGCUCUGUGAUCCACCUCCACACCUUCAACACCUCAUUCACUGAACCUCUGUUUCCUGGAUUUAGGUUCUGUUCACUUGACUCCUCAGUGACGCUGUGUGAGUUGUAGGAACGAGCGUCUCCUCAUGUGGAAACACAGAAAAUAUGAAGAUGUUUUCAGUGAUACAUGAGGUGACGCAAAUUGUGUGUGUGUGUGUUUUUUUUAAAAAUCCAUAUAAUGUGAAAAUAUUAAAAUGAAUUAGCACAACAAGUGUUAAUAGUGAACAUCCACAGAUGAGCCAAAACAUUCUGACUACUCACAGUGAAUAAGUGAAUAACACUGAUUAUCUGGCAGCAAAAGCCAUGUUGACCAUGUCAGGAUAUUUUUGUGAAAGGUCAGUUUUCAUAAUCAUUGUGUUGGAUAAGAGAAAGAUGGGCAGACGUAAAUAAUAGUUUAAUGAUUAAAAUAUAUGGAGUGAACACAACUGUAAACACAGCAUGUAAUAUUUUAUUAAAUUCUGUUCAUGUUUUUUUUUAAACAUAGAAUAAGCAUGUUGCAUCUCAACAACAGCAUGGAUGCCAUGAAACAAUGAAGUACAUGAUAUUUUGGAUGAUAAUGGGUCGAGAUUUGUUAAAUGCAAAUUAUUAAAGAGUGUGUCCACCAUUAGCAUCACAUAGGGCUGCACAUCUGCAUUCCACAGUGGCACAGUUAAGAUAAGAUAAGAUAAUUCUUUAUUGAUCUGGGCAUUGUAACAGCACAAGACAGUGGCACGCAAAGAAUACAAUAGAUAAAAAUAUAAAAGUAUGUAUAUAUAUGUAUAUAAAAAAAGUAUGUACAAGUGGCAAUCUAAAGUGACUUAGUGUGAGAGUA